rnacentral:rRNA from 1 species
GACGAACGCUGGCGGCGUGCUUAACACAUGCAAGUCGAACGGAAAGGCCCUUUCGGGGGUACUCGAGUGGCGAACGGGUGAGUAACACGUGGGUGAUCUGCCCUGCACUUUGGGAUAAGCCUGGGAAACUGGGUCUAAUACCGAAUAGGACCGCAUGCUUCAUGGUGUGUGGUGGAAAGCUUUUGCGGUGUGGGAUGGGCCCGCGGCCUAUCAGCUUGUUGGUGGGGUAAUGGCCUACCAAGGCGACGACGGGUAGCCGGCCUGAGAGGGUGUCCGGCCACACUGGGACUGAGAUGCGGCCCAGACUCCUACGGGAGGCAGCAGUGGGGAAUAUUGCACAAUGGGCGCAAGCCUGAUGCAGCGACGCCGCGUGGGGGAUGACGGCCUUCGGGUUGUAAACCUCUUUCAGUAUCGGCGAAGCGCAAGUGACGGUAGGUGCAGAAGAAGGACCGGCCAACUACGUGCCAGCCGCCGCGGUAA